UACGUAGGGUGCGAGCGUUAAUCGGAAUUACUGGGCGUAAAGUGUGCGCAGGCGGCAGAGCAAGUCGAGUGUGAAAGCCCCGGGCUUAACUUGGGAAUUGCGCUCGAAACUACUUUGCUGGAGUGUGGCAGAGGAAGGUGGAAUUCCACGUGUAGCGGUGAAAUGCGUAGAGAUGUGGAGGAAUACCGAUGGCGAAGGCAGCCUCCUGGGCCAACACUGACGCUCAUGCACGAAAGCGUGGGGAGCAAACAGG
rnacentral:rRNA from 1 species